AAAGGAAGACAGAAGCAAUACCCAGACUUUGAACUAUCCAUAUCCUUAAAAUGUGGAAUCAACAGAAUUGUUUCUGAAGGCUCUGCCUCUGGACAUCAGAAGAGUCAGAUGACAUGUCACCGGAAAAAGUGUGUACAGCAUGAAGGCACAUGGAAGAAAAUUCCCACUGUUGAAAUCAUCCAGGAGGAAUGACUUCACAGGCUGUAAAAUAUUGCUUCUGCCCUGGCAACAAUUUUUAAUAAAGCUGGAUGUUUUAAGCAGCUAAAGUCAAAUUUGUCUUUAGCAUCCUCCCCAUUUUAGAAACAGGACUGAAUAAACAAUUCCUGUCACACAAGAAAACUCUCUUGCUCAUUGGAAUUGCUGGGCUCUUCGGCACCCUUCCUUGGACAGCAAAGCCCCAAGUGGGUGAAGAAAAUGCAGCUGCUGAGACCAGACCGGAAGGAUUUGGGAGCACAUCCACCCAUGUCACCUCUGACUCUCUUCAGGGGCUGCUGGGUCAAGGACAACUUGUGUCUGAGGACAACACUGAGGACAGAACUUCUAUUCUUUCCUCUGUACAUCACCAAAAUAGUCCCAGGAGAAAGACUCCAUCUGCAUUGACUCUUCAGGGAUUGGACACCAGCAGCCAAUAACACUUUUCUUUCCAUUAUUGCCGUGAAAAAAAAAGAAACCACCAAAUCCUCCAAAAGGAAAUCUGAAAAGGCACAAUAAGAAGACAGUGAAGCCAGGAAAUGGAAAUGGACACUUUGGGAUUGCUACAAGAAGCUCUGGUUCAGUGAGAUUUGCUGUGCUGCUGCUUUGUUGGCCUAGGAGAUACAUUAGAAGACGAUAUUUAGAAAUCAUAAAUAAUCUCAUUAUAUUGCAUCUGGUAGCAUUCUGGAAAACAUGGAUAAAAGCAGUGGAGAACUGAGUUACAGAAACCCCCAGCGGCACAACUGAGGCAACAGAUGAGGGGAGAAAAAACCAUAGAUAUUAUGGAUGGAUGAACCCUGAGAAUUUUUUAGGUUUGGAUUCAAGCUCAACUGAAAUUGAGAUUGCCUGCUUGCCUUGUAGGGGCAACUCAGAUGCUGCAUAUUGCUCCUUCUGUUGUAGAACUGAGGGUCUUAGAAAUGGAAAAUAGCACUGGGCAUCUAGUUCACUGCCCACCCAGGACUGACCUGCAGGACUUUGCUGAUCUUUAGGACUGCAACCCUGUUCUACAGCUAAAUUAAAAUUUUUAUUUGGUAUUCCCCUUGAAUUUCCCAUUUCUUAUUCUAUCUUCCAUUCACAAAUUGUAGAUCACUGCUGAAAGUCAGUAUCAAAGGGUGUCCAACUUCCCUGAACACAGGUCACAUUGGUUUGUGUAAGGCUAUGGCUGCAUUUCUUAUAUAUUGUUCCUUGAUGCCAAUACAACAAACACAGAAUAGUCUGCCAGCUUAGAACUGAAAGUGGUG